UCUGGCAUUCAUGUCAUCAAUCAGCUGUGUGACCUGGGGCAGGUCACUUACCUUCCCCAGGCCUUAGUUACCCCUGCAUAAAAUGAGAAGCCUGGAGUAAAUGGUCUUUAAGGCCUCUUCCAACCCAGGUAUACGACUGUAGCCUAAUGCCAGGUAUAGACGUAGUAGGUGUUCAGGAGAUGUUUAUUUAGUAAUUUAACGAUAAGAUUCAAGGCAAGAUUCUGCAGGUCCCAGCACCCAUAUACUUCCUCACUAUAAGUUUUGCCUCUGCUGUUAGUUAAUUUGUGUCCAGUGCCAGCUCAACAGGUAUUAAACCAAGCACCUGUCAGGGUCUGGGAUUUAUCCCGCUUACAAGCCAAUAAGCUAGCCCGCUGUUGUUUCAUAAAUGCUGGCAGAAGACGUGGCUUCCUGAGUCGGACACAAAGAAUUUGCCACUCCUGGCACAGGGAGCAGGCUGUCCCUCCACUACCAGAAGAGUGCAAACACCGUGAGGGCAUGAGCGGGUGCUCCUUCUUCCUACACUCCACACCCAGAUCAUUUGCAUCCAGCAGGUGCUU